GCAGACACUGCAGAUGACGUGACCGCAGGUGGUGACCGCCAGCUGACGGUCAGCGCCGGCGGACAGGAAGCAGGAGUUGCAGUAGACCCAAAAAGACAUCUCAAGACCUGCGAGGAAAACCAGGUCUUACCAUCUUUUCUGCUGCAAAAACAGAGAAUCUGGUGGAGUUGGUUUGAAAACAGAGGUAGUGCUGACCAGAGAUCUGAGCUGUGAAGAACUGCUAGCAGAAGCUUUCAGUACCCUCUGGUUUUGGUCUUUGACUGUCACCGUGACGCCCAGGUGAGGGGAGUGGCUAGGCAUGUUCGGGUUCCAAGGCUGCAGCAAGAAGUGACCUAAAGGUGGUCACGGAAACGACGACCUGAAGGAUUGCUCCAUCAACUCACCUUUUACCAGUGUGUCCUCAGGGAUCUCUUCAAUGAUGCAUUUUUCUUCCUGCUCUCCGAGCUGAAAGUACAUGGCUGCUGACAACAUCAGCUGGUCUGAUAGUGACUCCAGCAGAUGACACAUCAACGUUCCAGCUGCCGUCUUUAUUUGUUCGCCUGAGCGGCGAGGAGCAGAAAAGAUGGACUCCUGCAAUCAGUCAGCUGUCUGGAGGGAAACGAGGCGGCGACGCUGAAUUAUAAUCUAUCUCAGCGGCUCUGGUGACACGCAUCGACAAGAUCCACCAAGCGGAGGCCAGACGAGCUGCAGCCCCGGCUAAAUCCACCCGACCGCCGGCCUGAUCGAGACUGACAGCCAACUAGACCAUGAGCUAUCACCGACACGCGGACACACAAGCCCCUGCAAGGGUGCAUGCCUGCACGACUGCGGGCGCAGCGCAUGCACGCUCAGACAAGCAGCUGCUCCCAGAACACGUUUAUUAUCGGGUUUCACUUCAGAUGCACCAACACGUGACGCAAAGAGCUGCAGUCGGGCACGACAAACAACGCACGAGUUGUUCUGAUCCACACUCAGCACUGGACCGGCAGCACUGAGCUUCACAACAACAGGGCAGCAUGGGUGUAUGAAAACACACUCAGCUGAACAUCCUGCAGCUAAAACACGUGGACACACACUCACACACAACUGGUUUCCUGAUGCUGACACGUCAGUGCAGAACAAUAAAGCAUAGAAAAGACACUGCAGAGCACGGCGGGGAUAUCUACUGCAGACAGAGGAACGCCGGGCGAGAAGAAUCUAACGAGCACGUGUACGAGAGGAAACGAGAAGAGACAUGAGAGCAGGGAAGAUGAGCAGAGGAGAUAAACGACUGGAGGAAAGUGAAGAAAUAAAGACAAAGCAUCAUCGGCCGCUGCAGAUGUGAGAGGAAUUAUCCAGACUCACUUAUUAGCCUCUCAGGUUCACAGUUGAUCCAGCAGUCAGGAGUACUUCUAAAAUGAUGCCAAUGAGCAAUUUGGAUCAUUUGUUUUAUGGAUUAGCAUAGAGGAGCACACAGAACAACACCUCUGGGUUUUAUGCUGAAGAAAUUAGUCAUAAAUUCACGAAGUGAGUCAAAGAAAAAGGGUUUUGUCAAAGUAAAACAUAGAUAAUCUAAAUCAGGGAUGUCGCACAAAACACACCUUAGGUCACG